AUGAGGAUAGCUUGGUGUUCCAGAAGAGGCACACAAAUAAGCAGCUCUUUUUCGAGCUGCAAUUCGGAACCGAAGCAGCUCCUUUUCGAGCUGCAAUCCGCAAUCAAGCAGCUCCUAUCCGAGCUGCAAUUCGACAUCGACGCGGCUCCCCACCGAGCUCUAAUCCGAUUUCGACCCCCUUUCUGUGUAGAUCACGGAAGGGGAUCGAGUCCGUCUCGUGUUCAGUCUGCGAGUUGCAGUCGGAGGCGCAAACGAAGCCAAUAG
rnacentral:rRNA from 1 species